rnacentral:rRNA from 1 species
UUUGAUCAUGGCUCAGAUUGAACGCUGGCGGCAUGCCUUACACAUGCAAGUCGAACGGUAACAGGUCUUCGGAUGCUGACGAGUGGCGAACGGGUGAGUAAUACAUCGGAACGUGCCCGAUCGUGGGGGAUAACGCAGCGAAAGGUGUGCUAAUACCGCAUACGAUCUACGGAUGAAAGCGGGGGAUCGCAAGACCUCGCGCGGACGGAGCGGCCGAUGGCAGAUUAGGUAGUUGGUGGGAUAAAGGCUCACCAAGGCGACGAUCUGUAGCGGGUCUGAGAGGAUGAUCCGCCACACUGGAACUGAGACACGGUCCAGACUCCUGCGGGAGGCAGCAGUGGGGAAUUUUGGACAAUGGGGGCAACCCUGAUCCAGCCAUGCCGCGUGAGUGAAGAAGGCCUUCGGGUUGUAAAGCUCUUUCGGCCGGGAAGAAAUCGUGUGGGCUAAUACCUCACAUGGAUGACGGUACCGGAAUAAGAAGCACCGGCUAACUACGUGCCAGCAGCCGCGGUAAUACGUAGGGUGCGAGCGUUAAUCGGAAUUACUGGGCGUAAAGCGUGCGCAGGCGGUUUAGUAAGACAGGCGUGAAAUCCCCGGGCUCAACCUGGGAACUGCGCUUGUGACUGCUAAGCUAGAGUACGGCAGAGGGGGGUGGAAUUCCAGGUGUAGUGGUGAAAUACGUAGAUAUCUGGAAGAACACCAGUUGCGAAGGCGGUCUCUUGGUCCGAUACUGACGCUGAGGCGCGAAAGCGUGGGGAGCAAACAGGAUUAGAUACCCUGGUAGUCCACGCUGUAAACGAUG